rnacentral:rRNA from 1 species
UACCUGCAGCUCGAGUGGUAACCGCUAUUAUUGGGCCUAAAGCGUCCGUAGCCGGUUUGGUAAAUAUCUGGGUAAAUCGUGAGGCUUAACUUCACGAAUUUCGGAUAGACUGCCAGACUUGGGAUCGGGGGAGGUCAGAGGUACUCCAGGGGUAGCGGUGAAAUGUUGUAAUCCUUGGAGGACCACCGGUAGCGAAGGCGUCUGACUAGAACGAGUCCGACGGUGAGGGACGAAGCCCUGGGGCGCAAACCGGAUUAGAUACCCGGGUAGUCCAGGGUGUAAACAAUGUGGGCUUUGUAUUGGAGAUCCCACGUGGGUGUCCAGUGCAGAAGAGAAGUUGUUAAGCCCACCGCCUGGGAAGUACGGUCGCAAGGCUGAAACUUAAAGGAGUUGGCGGGGGAGCACAGCAACGGGAGGAGCGUGCGGUUU